rnacentral:lncRNA from 1 species
GUGAAAUUAGUGCUUGGGAUUCCCUCACUGUAAUGACUGACUGUUUUGUCGGCCAGGAUUGGAUUAACCUAAGGGUAUUCAGAGAUCUAUGUAUCUCACUGGGUCAUCUGCAUUUUACUGAGGAAUAGGAAGAUUAACUGCAGGCACCAGACUGGUCGUCCCACUUAACGUAACCCUGGAAAGUUCCUCUCGCAUUCCAGAAACUACUCAGUCUCCUGCCUCUGUGAAGUUUGCCUAUCUGUCUGGCAAAAGACAGUUCAGGUCGUGUUUUUCACAAGCAAUAGAAAAAGCCAGUUUCAACAAAGCUAGGAGUUUGUCCUAAGAAUCUGGAGUUACUUAAGAGAUAUUUCAACAACCUGUGUCUUCAGUAAGGCUCCCCGGAAACAGACGCCUAAACAGAGAGCUACAUGCCGGGUGCUGUGGUUUUUUGUUUUGUUUUGGUGGGGGGUGCUCUAAGAAACAACACCUGUAGGGGGAGUAAGGGAAACAGACUUGGGCAGAGGAAGAAGUUGAACUUUGAUGCCGUUGUAUUCAGCUAAGCCUACAGGGUGCUGGAUAUCAGUGUAAAAUUGUCUCCAGUAAAAGGAGCUGGGGGCCUUUGUAUCCCUACGAGCAGUCAUCUGAUGCUGAUUGCCCCAGGGAGGGGUGUAACCUUGUGUAAGGCAGCUCCCUUGCUGAGGGCCGUCCAGAGGGGCACUCAGCUGUGAAUCACCCACGGCUAACGCUGCAGCUGCAGAAUCAGGGUAUCCACCAGAACCUGCUGCGCAGCUAGUUGGUGUCUGCUUUUCCAUCAACUUGUAAAUUACUGGAGAGGAGGACCUCAAGACAUUCUCCCUUGUUUUCUUCACAAUCAGGGAUGAUAUUGAAGAUAGUUAACACCCAGUACAGCACAGGCACCAACCAACUCAAAUGGACACUGUUCUUAGGCAAUUCGUAUGGCUAUACUAGUGGAUACAGCUGCAUAUUUGUUCUGCACACAGAAGGCAUCCAAUAAAUGAUCGUUGGAUUGAAUUUCAUUGGUUUGGUCAUCAUGGCCUUGCCACCUUUGUUCCAGAUAAAAGGAUCUGUAUGAGAGAAGCAGCUCUGGCACAUGCACACUUGCGGAUGCCGUUCAUCUGCUUUUCUCCUGGGACUACCAGGAAAUAAAUUAGCUAUCAGAUCAGAGCAAACCAAAAUUUAAAAGAUCAUAAAUGAAAAAUGAAUGUGUUGUUAUUUGACUUUUUUGUAUCGUUAUUCAUAGAUUUUCUUAAAGUAAUAAUCAGAGAACAUCAUCAACUAAAAUAUGUUUGUAACCCAAGUCAGUGACGAACUUGGUAAACACGGCAGAAUUACGCCCUCUCUUAAUUAGCCUUUGGGGAGACACCAAGUUUUGAACCGCUGCUUGUAGCUCUGGGAAUCUUCUAAGAAGCAGGAGUAGAUUAACCUCUAGAAGAGAAAUAUGCCAAAAACUGAUUU